rnacentral:rRNA from 1 species
GACGAACGCUGGCGGCGUGCUUAACACAUGCAAGUCGAACGAAGUGGCGAACGGGUGAGUAACGCGUAAUCAACCUGCCCUUCAGAGGGGGACAACAGUUGGAAACGACUGCUAAUACCGCAUACUGAAGGAGGGGUUUGCGUCUGAUUAGCUAGUUGGGGGGGUAACGGCCCAACCAGGCGAUGAUCAGUAGGCGGUCCGGGAGGGUGAACGGCCAAAAUGGGAACUAGACAAGGCCCCGACUCCUACGGGAGGCAGCAGUGGGGAAACUUCCGCAAUGGGCGAAAGGCUGACGGAGCAAAGGCGCGUUGAGGAUGACGGCCUUCGGGUUGUAAAGCUCUGUUAAUCGGGACGCGGUACCGGAAUAGAAAGCCACGGCUAACUACGUGCCAGCAGCCGCGGUAAUUC